rnacentral:rRNA from 1 species
GAUGAACGCUGGCGGCGUGCCUAAUACAUGCAAGUCGAGCGAACGGACGAGAAGCUUGCUUCUCUGAUGUUAGCGGCGGACGGGUGAGUAACACGUGGAUAACCUACCUAUAAGACUGGGAUAACUUCGGGAAACCGUAGCUAAUACCGGAUAAUAUUUUGAACCGCAUGGUUCAAAAGUGAAAGACGGUCUUGCUGUCACUUAUGGAUGGAUCCGCGCUGCAUUAGCUAGUUGGUAAGGUAACGGCUUACCAAGGCAACGAUGCAUAGCCGACCUGAGAGGGUGAUCGGCCACACUGGAACUGAGACACGGUCCAGACUCCUACGGGAGGCAGCAGUAGGGAAUCUUCCGCAAUGGGCGAAAGCCUGACGGAGCAACGCCGCGUGAGUGAUGAAGGUCUUCGGAUCGUAAAACUCUGUUAUUAGGGAAGAACAUAUGUGUAAGUAACUGUGCACAUCUUGACGGUACCUAAUCAGAAAGCCACGGCUAACUACGUGCCAGCAGCCGCGGUAAUACGUAGGUGGCAAGCGUUAUCCGGAAUUAUUGGGCGUAAAGCGCGCGUAGGCGGUUUUUUAAGUCUGAUGUGAAAGCCCACGGCUCAACCGUGGAGGGUCAUUGGAAACUGGAAAACUUGAGUGCAGAAGAGGAAAGUGGAAUUCCAUGUGUAGCGGUGAAAUGCGCAGAGAUAUGGAGGAACACCAGUGGCGAAGGCGACUUUCUGGUCUGUAACUGACGCUGAUGUGCGAAAGCGUGGGGAUCAAACAGGAUUAGAUACCCUGGUAGUCCACGCCGUAAACGAUGAGUGCUAAGUGUUAGGGGGUUUCCGCCCCUUAGUGCUGCAGCUAACGCAUUAAGCACUCCGCCUGGGGAGUACGACCGCAAGGUUGAAACUCAAAGGAAUUGACGGGGACCCGCACAAGCGGUGGAGCAUGUGGUUUAAUUCGAAGCAACGCGAAGAACCUUACCAAAUCUUGACAUCCUUUGACAACUCUAGAGAUAGAGCCUUCCCCUUCGGGGGACAAAGUGACAGGUGGUGCAUGGUUGUCGUCAGCUCGUGUCGUGAGAUGUUGGGUUAAGUCCCGCAACGAGCGCAACCCUUAAGCUUAGUUGCCAUCAUUAAGUUGGGCACUCUAAGUUGACUGCCGGUGACAAACCGGAGGAAGGUGGGGAUGACGUCAAAUCAUCAUGCCCCUUAUGAUUUGGGCUACACACGUGCUACAAUGGACAAUACAAAGGGCAGCGAAACCGCGAGGUCAAGCAAAUCCCAUAAAGUUGUUCUCAGUUCGGACUGUAGUCUGCAACUCGACUACAUGAAGCUGGAAUCGCUAGUAAUCGUAGAUCAGCAUGCUACGGUGAAUACGUUCCCGGGUCU